GACGAACGCUGGCGGCGUGCUUAACACAUGCAAGUCGAGCGGUAAGGCCCUUUCGGGGGUACGACGAGCGGCGAACGGGUGAGUAACACGUGGGUGACCUGCCCUCAGCUCUGGGAUAAGCCUGGGAAACUGGGUCUAAUACCGGAUAUGACUCCAUGACGCAUGUUGUGGGGUGGAAAGCCUUGUGCGGCUGAGGAUGGGCCCGCGGCCUAUCAGCUUGUUGGUGGGGUGAGGCCUACCAAGGCGACGACGGGUAGCCGGCCUGAGAGGGCGACCGGCCAUACUGGGACUGAGACACGGCCCAGACUCCUACGGGAGGCAGCAGUGGGGAAUCUUGCGCAAUGGGCGAAAGCCUGACGCAGCGACGCCGCGUGAGGGAUGACGGCCUGG
rnacentral:rRNA from 1 species